UUUCCGUAGGUGAACCUGCGGAAGGAUCAUUAUCGUACAAAAUGUGAGGGGCAUGCGAGGGCUGUCGCUGACCCAAAAUUCGUGCACGCCCGAUUGUGUCCUCUUGCAUAAUAAUCCAUCUCACCCUUUGUGCAUCACCGCGUGGGCACCCUUCUGGAUCAACUCGGAGGGGGGCUCGCGUUUUCACACAAACCCCCCUUUUAAAAGUGUAGAAUGACCACAUUUAUGCAAUCAAUACAACUUUCAACAACGGAUCUCUUGGCUCUC
rnacentral:misc_RNA from 1 species